CAAAACCUCAUAUCCUGGAUAUGCAAGGAAAAUAUAGUCGCGCUUUUAUGGCCUGGCAUACGGAUAAUUACGAGGAAACCACUCAGAGAAAUUCCAAAUGGGCCGUUCUUGUUAGGCAGAGUAAGUCACCAUCAGUAAGACCUUGCGAACAAUCUAAGCUACCAAAGAAGGAAAAGAGUUUGGAAUCAACCCUUUAAUUUCCCCUAUAUGGGUCGAAUUUUCAACAUGCUACUAUGUCCAUGUUAGAAUUGAUUUUGUAUCAAGUUAUUAUCUAUGAAAACCUGGAAGAUGGUGAAUGAGGGAAAGCGCCCAAAACAUGUAAACAAGGAAAAGGAAACUAGAGAUGAGGGGAAUGCUUUAAAAACUGGUGCAGAUGGAAAAGCUGUAACAUCAGCUAUGACAAUUUAUUCACAUAUAAUGAGAAACGAAUGCCGAGGGAGCCGAGCCACAGAAAAAAGACUCUAAAUGAGCAAAACCAAACCUACACUAGAAAGAAAAACUGCCUACAAAUGUAGAACAAAAAAUGACCUCAUCAUACCAUAUAAAUACUUGUCGUAUUACUCCUGGCAUGGAUGUCCUGCAAGAGUAUGCUUCCGUUUAAAGACCAAAUAAAGAUGUUAGUAAAAA